rnacentral:snoRNA from 1 species
AAGCUACACUCUGUGGCAGAAGUCUGCAAAGACAAUGAUCUGUCUCAAUUUGAGCUUUGCUACAGCAAUGCCCGUCUCAUCCCGCUGAGGCGUCCCCUCUCCUGGGAUCCCUGAUGGGGAAACGACAGCAAC